rnacentral:rRNA from 1 species
GGGUCAGUAGGUUGGUCGUGCCACCGGUACGUACUGGUCUCACUGAUUCCUCCUUCCUGAAGAACCGUAAUGCCAUUAAUUUGGUGUUGUGGGGAAACAGGACUGUUACUUUGAAAAAAUUAGAGUGUUUAAUGCAAGCUAACGCUUGAAUACAUUAGCAUGGAAUAAUGAAAUAGGACGAUCGAUCCUAUUUUGUUGGUUUCUAGGAUUGACGUA